rnacentral:rRNA from 1 species
UACGAAGGGGGCUAGCGUUGCUCGGAUUUACUGGGCGUAAAGGGCGCGUAGGCGGACAGUUUAGUCAGAGGUGAAAGCCCAGGGCUCAACCUUGGAAUUGCCUUUGAUACUGGCUGUCUUGAGUACGGGAGAGGUGAGUGGAACUCCGAGUGUAGAGGUGAAAUUCGUAGAUAUUCGGAAGAACACCAGUGGCGAAGGCGGCUCACUGGCCCGGUACUGACGCUGAGGCGCGAAAGCGUGGGGAGCAAACAGG